rnacentral:snRNA from 1 species
CACUAGAAAACACAUAUAAA